AGUGAACGCUGGCGGUAGGCCUAACACAUGCAAGUCGAACGGCAGCACAGUAAGAGCUUGCUCUUACGGGUGGCGAGUGGCGGACGGGUGAGGAAUACAUCGGAAUCUACUUUUUCGUGGGGGAUAACGUAGGGAAACUUACGCUAAUACCGCAUACGACCUACGGGUGAAAGCAGGGGAUCUUCGGACCUUGCGCGAUUGAAUGAGCCGAUGUCGGAUUAGCUAGUUGGCGGGGUAAAGGCCCACCAAGGCGACGAUCCGUAGCUGGUCUGAGAGGAUGAUCGGCCACACUGGAACUGAGACACGGUCCAGACUCCUACGGGAGGCAGCAGUGGGGAAUAUUGGGCAAUGGGCGCAAGCCUGACCCAGCCAUACCGCGUGGGUGAAGAAGGCCUUCGGGUUGUAAAGCCCUUUUGUUGGGAAAGAAAAGCAGCAGGUUAAUACCCCGCUGUUCUGACGGUACCCAAUAAAUAAGCACCGGCUAACUUCGUG
rnacentral:rRNA from 1 species